rnacentral:rRNA from 1 species
UACGUAGGGUGCGAGCGUUGUCCGGAAUUAUUGGGCGUAAAGAGCUCGUAGGCGGCCUGUCACGUCGGAUGUGAAAACUCGGGGCUCAACCCCGAGCCUGCAUUCGAUACGGGCAGACUAGAGUUCGGUAGGGGAGACGUGGAAUUCCUGGUGUAGCGGUGAAAUGCGCAGAUAUCAGGAGGAACACCGGUGGCGAAGGCGGGUCUCUGGGCCGAUACUGACGCUGAGGAGCGAAAGCGUGGGGAGCGAACAGG